rnacentral:rRNA from 1 species
AUUGAACGCUGGCGGCAUGCCUUACACAUGCAAGUCGGACGGUAACAGGUCUUCGGAUGCUGACGAGUGGCGAACGGGUGAGUAAUGCAUCGGAACGUGCCCGGUAGUGGGGGAUAGCCCGGCGAAAGCCGGAUUAAUACCGCAUACGACCUGAGGGUGAAAGGGGGGGAUCGCAAGACCUCUCGCUAUUGGAGCGGCCGAUGUCAGAUUAGCUAGUUGGUGGGGUAAAGGCCUACCAAGGCAACGAUCUGUAGUUGGUCUGAGAGGACGACCAGCCACACUGGGACUGAGACACGGCCCAGACUCCUACGGGAGGCAGCAGUGGGGAAUUUUGGACAAUGGGCGCAAGCCUGAUCCAGCAAUGCCGCGUGCAGGAAGAAGGCCUUCGGGUUGUAAACUGCUUUUGUCAGGGAAGAAAUCUUCUGGGUUAAUACCUCGGGAGGAUGACGGUACCUGAAGAAUAAGCACCGGCUAACUACGUGCCAGCCGCCGCCGUAAAAC